AUUGAACGCUGGCGGCAGGCCUAACACAUGCAAGUCGAACGGUAACAGGAAGAUGCUUGCUGCUUUGCGGAGGAGUGGGGGGCGGGAGGGCAAUGUCUGUGAAACGUCGUGAGGGAGGGGGAUAAGUACUGGAAACGGUAGCUAAAACCGCAUAACGGCGCAAGACGAAAAAGGGUGACCUUUGGGCCUCUCGCCUGCGCCUGGGUCGGAUUAGCUAGUUGGUGGGGUAAGGGCAAACCCAGGCGACGAUCCCUAACUGGUCUGAGAGGAUGAGCAGCCACACUGGAACUGAGACACGGUCCAGACUCCUACGGGAGGCAGCAGUGGGGAAUAUUGCACAAUGGGCGAAAGCCUGAUGCAGCCAUGCCGCGUGUAUGAAGAAGGUCUUCGGAUUGUAAAGUACUUUCAGUGGGGAGGAAGGGCAUAAAGUUAAUACCUUGCCUUAUUGACGUUACCAGCAGAAGAAGCACCGGCUAACUUCGUG
rnacentral:rRNA from 1 species